rnacentral:rRNA from 1 species
UCUCAGUUCGGAUUGUAGGCUGCAACUCGCCUACAUGAAGUCGGAAUCGCUAGUAAUCGCGGAUCAGCAUGCCGCGGUGAAUACGUUCCCGGGCCUUGUACACACCGCCCGUCACACCAUGAGAGUUUGUAACACCCAAAGCCGGUGGGGUAACCUUUUGGAGCCAGCCGUCUAAGGUGGGACAGAUGAUUGGGGUGAAGUCGUAACAAGGUACC